GCCUGGUGUCAUGGCGCCUGUAGUCCCAGCUGUUCAGGAGGCUGAGGUGGGAGGAUCGACUGAGUGCAGGAGUUUUGGGCUUCAGUGCGUUAUGCCCAUCGGGUGUCUGCACUAAGUUCGGCAUCAAUAUGGUGACCUCCCGGGAGCAGGGGACGGGGGACCACCAGCUUGCCUAAGGAGGACUGAACUGGCCCAGGUCAGAAAGGGAGCAGGUCAGAAGGACUAGUGUUUUUCAAUUUUUACCAUGUGUAAGACACAAGGCAAAUGCAUUGUACAUAGAAAGCCUUAU
rnacentral:SRP_RNA from 1 species